rnacentral:rRNA from 1 species
GACGAACGCUGGCGGCGUGCUUAACACAUGCAAGUCGAACGAAGUGGCGAACGGGUGAGUAACGCGUAAUCAACCUGCCCUUCAGGGGGGGACAACAGUGGGAAACGACGGCUAAUACCGCAUACGGAAGGAGGGGAUUGCGUCUGAUUAGCUAGUUGGAGGGGUAAAGGCCGACCAAGGCGAGAAUCAUUAGCCGGGGUGAGGGAACGAACGGCCACAAUGUGACUGAGACACGGCACAGACUCCUAAGGGAGGCAGCCGUUGGUAAUCUUCCGAAAUUGGGUAGAGUCUGGCGGGGGCCCUCCGGGUGAGGUAUGACGGCCUUCGGGUUUUAAAGCUCUGUUAAUCGGGACGCGUUACCGGAAUAGAAAGCCACGGCUAACUCCGUGCCAGCAGCCGCGGUAAUAC